rnacentral:rRNA from 1 species
GAGUGGUUGAUGCCAUACUUCCAAGAAAAUCUUCUAAGCUUCAGGUUAUAGAGAACCGUACUCCAAACCGACACAGGUGAUCAGGUAGAGAAUACCAAGGCGCUUGAGAGAACUCGGGUGAAGGAACUAGGCAAAAUAGCACCGUAACUUCGGGAGAAGGUGCGCCGGUGUUGGUGAUGGGACUUGCUCCCUAAGCUGACGCUGGUCGAAGUAACCAGGUGGCUGCAACUGUUUAUUAAAAACAUAGCACUCUGCAAACACGUAAGUGGACGUAUAGGGUGUGACGCCUGCCCGGUGCCGGAAGGUUAAUUGAUGGGGUUAGCUUCGGCGAAGCUCUUGAUCGAAGCCCCGGUAAACGGCGGCCGUAACUAUAACGGUCCUAAGGUAGCGAAAUUCCUUGUCGGGUAAGUUCCGACCUGCACGAAUGGCGUAAUGAUGGCCACGCUGUCUCCACCCGAGACUCAGUGAAAUUGAAAUCGCGGUUAAGAUGCCGUGUUCCCGCGGCUAGACGGAAAGACCCCGUGAACCUUUACUACAGCUUUGCACUGAACUCUGAGCCUAUUUGUGUAGGAUAGCUGGGAGGCUUUGAAGCGGUGACGCCAGUCAUCGUGGAGCCGUCCUUGAAAUACCAGCCUGGUAUGUUUGGGGUUCUAACUCAGGUCCGUUAUCCGGAUCGAGGACAGUGUAUGGUGGGUAGUUUGACUGGGGCGGUCUCCUCCCAAAGAGUAACGGAGGAGCACGAAGGUACGCUAAUCAUGGUCGGAAAUCAUGAGUUUAGUGCAAUGGCAUAAGCGUGCUUGACUGCGAGACUGACACGUCGAGCAGGUACGAAAGUAGGUCAUAGUGAUCCGGUGGUUCUGUAUGGAAGGGCCAUCGCUCAACGGAUAAAAGGUACUCCGGGGAUAACAGGCUGAUACCGCCCAAGAGUUCACAUCGACGGCGGUGUUUGGCACCUCGAUGUCGGCUCAUCACAUCCUGGGGCUGAAGCCGGUCCCAAGGGUAUGGCUGUUCGCCAUUUAAAGUGGUACGCGAGCUGGGUUUAGAACGUCGUGAGACAGUUCGGUCCCUAUCUGCCGUGGGCGUUGGAAAUUUGAGAAGAGUUGCUCCUAGUACGAGAGGACCGGAGUGAACGAACCCCUGGUGUUCGGGUUGUCAUGCCAAUGGCAUUGCCCGGUAGCUACGUUCGGACGGGAUAACCGCUGAAAGCAUCUAAGCGGGAAGCCUCCUUCAAGAUUAGAUUUCCCUGGGACUUUAAGUCCCCUAAAGGGCCGUUGAAGACUACGACGUUGAUAGGUUGGGUGUGGAAGCGCUGUGAGGCGUUGAGCUAACCAAUACUAAUUGCCCGUGAGGCUUGACCAUAUAACUGA